rnacentral:rRNA from 1 species
GAUGAACGCUGGCGGCGUGCCUAAUACAUGCAAGUCGAGCGAACAGAUAAGGAGCUUGCUCCUUUGACGUUAGCGGCGGACGGGUGAGUAACACGUGGGUAACCUACCUAUAAGACUGGAAUAACUCCGGGAAACCGGGGCUAAUGCCGGAUAACAUUUAGAACCGCAUGGUUCUAAAGUGAAAGAUGGUUUUGCUAUCACUUAUAGAUGGACCCGCGCCGUAUUAGCUAGUUGGUAAGGUAACGGCUUACCAAGGCAACGAUCCGUAGCCGACCGGAGAGGGUGAUCGGCCACACUGGAACUGAGACACGGUCCAGACUCCUACGGGAGGCAGCAGUAGGGAAUCUUCCGCAAUGGGCGAAAGCCUGACGGAGCAACGCCGCGUGAGUGAUGAAGGUCUUCGGAUCGUAAAACUCUGUUAUUAGGGAAGAACAAAUGUGUAAGUAACUGUGCACGUCUUGACGGUACCUAAUCAGAAAGCCACGGCUAACUACGUG